AACCUGGUUGAUCCUGCCAGUGGUCAUAUGCUUAUUUCAAAGAUUAAGCCAUGCAUGUCUAAGCAUGAGCUAAAUCAAAGUGAAGCCGCGAAUAGCUCAUUACAAUAGCCGUUGUUUCUUGGAUCCUAACUUUACUUGGAUACCUGUGGUAAUUCUAGAGCUAAUACAUGCGACUAAGAGCCGACCUCACGGGACGCUUGCAUUUAUUAAAUCAAGACUAACCGGCUUCGGCCGUUACUUGGUGACUCUGAAUAACUGAGCUGAUCGCACGGUCUAGUGCUACCGGUGACAUAUCUUUCAAGUGUCUACCUUAUCAACUUUCGAUGGUAGGUUAUGUGCCUACCAUGGUUGUAACGGGUAACGGAGAAUCAGGGUUUGACUCCGGAGAGGGAGCCUGAGAAACGGCUACCACUUCUAAGGAAGGCAGCAGGCGCGCAAAUUACCCAUUCUCGGCAUGAGGAGGUAGUGACGAAAAAUACCGAGGCGAUGCCCUUUCGGGUGUCGUCAUUGGAAUGAGAAAAAUAUAAAUCUUUUAACGAGGAUCUAGUGGAGGGCAAGUCUGGUGCCAGCAGCCGCGGUAAUUCCAGCUCCGCAAGUGUAUAUCUAUGCUGCUGCGGUUAAAAAGCUCGUAGUUUGAUUCGCGUACUUAGCACGCAGUGUGGCCUGACGGCUACUACUGUGAUGCGGUACAUUAUCGUUGGUUUGCCGUUGAUGCUCUUAAUCGGGUGUCGGCGGCUGCUGACAAGUUUACUUUGAACAAAUUAAAGUGCUCAAUACAGGCGUUUCGCUUGUAUAGUUCUGCAUGGAAUAAUAGAAUAGGACUUUUGUUCUAUUUUGUUGGUUUUCAGAACGAAAGUAAUGAUUAAGAGGGACAGACGGGGGCAUUCGUACUGCGACGUUAGAGGUGAAAUUCUUGGAUCGUCGCAAGACGGACUACUGCGAAAGCAUUUGCCAAGAAUGUUUUCAUUAAUCAAGAACGAAAGUUAUGGGUUCGAAGGCGAUCAGAUACCGCCCUAGUCAUAACCGUAAACGAUAUAGACUAGGCGUCUGCAUGUGUUAUUUUUGACCGUGUAGAAGGAGCUUUCCGGAAACGAAAGUCUUCAGGUUCCGGGGGAAGUAUGGUUGCAAAGCUGAAACUUAAAGGAAUUGACGGAAGGGCACCACCAGGAGUGGAGCCUGCGGCUUAAUUUGACUCAACACGGGAAAACUCACCCGGCCCGGACACCGUAAGGAUUGACAGAUUGAGAGCUCUUUCUUGAUUCGGUGGGUGGUGGUGCAUGGCCGUUCUUAGUUGGUGGAUUGAUUUGUCUGGUUUAUUCCGAUAACGAACGAGACUCCAACCUACUAACUAGUGGGUAGAUCUUUAUGUCUACAACACUUCUUAGAGGGACAAGCGGUGUUUAGCCGCAUGAGAAGGAGCAAUAACAGGUCUGUGAUGCCCUUAGAUGUCCGGGGCUGCACGCGCGCUACACUGAAGGAAUCAACGUGCUAGAAAACCUUGUUUGACAUGGCUAGGUAACCCCUUGAAAAUCCUUCGUGAUUGGGAUCGGGACUUGCAAAUGUGUCCCUUGAACGAGGAAUUCCCAGUAAGUGCGGGUCAUAAGCUCGCGCUGAUUACGUCCCUGCCCUUUGUACACACCGCCCGUCGCUGCCCGGGACUGAGCCGUUUCGAGAAGACUGGGGAUUGCUGACUCAGGGCCUUCACGGGCUUUUUGUCGGUGAAAACCAUUUUAAUCGCAGCGGCUUGAACCGGGCAAAAGUCGUAACAAGGUUUCCGUAGGUGAACCUGCAGAAGGAUCA
rnacentral:rRNA from 1 species